rnacentral:tRNA from 1 species
ACCUGGCUGGCUCAGUUGGCAGAGUGUGUGACUCUUGAUCUCAGGGUUGUGGGUUCAAGCCGUAUGUUGGGUA